rnacentral:rRNA from 1 species
GGAAUCUUCCACAAUGGACGAAAGUCUGAUGGAGCAAUGCCGCGUGAGUGAAGAAGGUUUUCGGAUCGUAAAACUCUGUUGUGAGGGAAGAACAAGUACGAGAGUAACUGCUCGUACCUUGACGGUACCUCAUUAGAAAGCCACGGCUAACUACGUGCCAGCAGCCGCGGUAAUACGUAGGUGGCAAGCGUUGUCCGGAAUUAUUGGGCGUAAAGCGCGCGCAGGCGGUCCUUUAAGUCUGAUGUGAAAUCCCACGGCUCAACCGUGGAAGGUCAUUGGAAACUGGGGGACUUGAGUACAGAAGAGGAAAGCGGAAUUCCAAGUGUAGCGGUGAAAUGCGUAGAGAUUUGGGGGAACACCAGUGGCGAAGGCGGCUUUCUGGUCUGUAACUGACGCUGAGGCGCGAAAGCGUGGGGAGCAAACAGGAUUAGAUACCCUUG